rnacentral:rRNA from 1 species
GAUUAAGUUAUUAAGGGCGCACGGUGGAUGCCUUGGCACUAGAAGCCGAUGAAGGACGUUACUAACGACGAUAUGCUUUGGGGAGCUGUAAGUAAGCUUUGAUCCAGAGAUUUCCGAAUGGGGAAACCCAGCAUGAGUUAUGUCAUGUUAUCGAUAUGUGAAUACAUAGCAUAUCAGAAGGCACACCCGGAGAACUGAAACAUCUUAGUACCCGGAGGAAGAGAAAGAAAAUUCGAUUCCCUUAGUAGCGGCGAGCGAAACGGGAAGAGCCCAAACCAACAAGCUUGCUUGUUGGGGUUGUAGGACACUCUAUACGGAGUUACAAAGGACGACAUUAGACGAAUCAUCUGGAAAGAUGAAUCAAAGAAGGUAAUAAUCCUGUAGUCGAAAAUGUUGUCUCUCUUGAGUGGAUCCUGAGUACGACGGAGCACGUGAAAUUCCGUCGGAAUCUGGGAGGACCAUCUCCUAAGGCUAAAUACUCUCUAGUGACCGAUAGUGAACCAGUACCGUGAGGGAAAGGUGAAAAGCACCCCGGAAGGGGAGUGAAAUAGAACCUGAAACCGUGUGCUUACAAGUAGUCAGAGCCCGUUAAUGGGUGAUGGCGUGCCUUUUGUAGAAUGAACCGGCGAGUUACGAUUUGAUGCAAGGUUAAGCAGUAAAUGUGGAGCCGUAGCGAAAGCGAGUCUGAAUAGGGCGUUUAGUAUUUGGUCGUAGACCCGAAACCAGGUGAUCUACCCUUGGUCAGGUUGAAGUUCAGGUAACACUGAAUGGAGGACCGAACCGACUUACGUUGAAAAGUGAGCGGAUGAACUGAGGGUAGCGGAGAAAUUCCAAUCGAACCUGGAGAUAGCUGGUUCUCUCCGAAAUAGCUUUAGGGCUAGCCUCAAGUGAUGAUUAUUGGAGGUAGAGCACUGUUUGGACGAGGGGCCCCUCUCGGGUUACCGAAUUCAGACAAACUCCGAAUGCCAAUUAAUUUAACUUGGGAGUCAGAACAUGGGUGAUAAGGUCCGUGUUCGAAAGGGAAACAGCCCAGACCACCAGCUAAGGUCCCAAAAUAUAUGUUAAGUGGAAAAGGAUGUGGCGUUGCCCAGACAACUAGGAUGUUGGCUUAGAAGCAGCCAUCAUUUAAAGAGUGCGUAAUAGCUCACUAGUCGAGUGACACUGCGCCGAAAAUGUACCGGGGCUAAACAUAUUACCGAAGCUGUGGAUUGUCCUUUGGACAAUGGUAGGAGAGCGUUCUAAGGGCGUUGAAGCAUGAUCGUAAGGACAUGUGGAGCGCUUAGAAGUGAGAAUGCCGGUGUGAGUAGCGAAAGACGGGUGAGAAUCCCGUCCACCGAUUGACUAAGGUUUCCAGAGGAAGGCUCGUCCGCUCUGGGUUAGUCGGGUCCUAAGCUGAGGCCGACAGGCGUAGGCGAUGGAUAACAGGUUGAUAUUCCUGUACCACCUAUAAUCGUUUUAAUCGAUGGGGGGACGCAGUAGGAUAGGCGAAGCGUGCGAUUGGAUUGCACGUCUAAGCAGUAAGGCUGAGUAUUAGGCAAAUCCGGUACUCGUUAAGGCUGAGCUGUGAUGGGGAGAAGACAUUGUGUCUUCGAGUCGUUGAUUUCACACUGCCGAGAAAAGCCUCUAGAUAGAAAAUAGGUGCCCGUACCGCAAACCGACACAGGUAGUCAAGAUGAGAAUUCUAAGGUGAGCGAGCGAACUCUCGUUAAGGAACUCGGCAAAAUGACCCCGUAACUUCGGGAGAAGGGGUGCUCUUUAGGGUUAACGCCCAGAAGAGCCGCAGUGAAUAGGCCCAAGCGACUGUUUAUCAAAAACACAGGUCUCUGCUAAACCGUAAGGUGAUGUAUAGGGGCUGACGCCUGCCCGGUGCUGGAAGGUUAAGAGGAGUGGUUAGCUUCUGCGAAGCUACGAAUCGAAGCCCCAGUAAACGGCGGCCGUAACUAUAACGGUCCUAAGGUAGCGAAAUUCCUUGUCGGGUAAGUUCCGACCCGCACGAAAGGCGUAACGAUUUGGGCACUGUCUCAACGAGAGACUCGGUGAAAUCAUAGUACCUGUGAAGAUGCAGGUUACCCGCGACAGGACGGAAAGACCCCGUGGAGCUUUACUGUAGCCUGAUAUUGAAAUUCGGCACACCUUGUACAGGAUAGGUAGGAGCCUUUGAAACGUGAGCGCUAGCUUACGUGGAGGCGCUGGUGGGAUACUACCCUAGCUGUGUUGGCUUUCUAACCCGCACCACUUAUCGUGGUGGGAGACAGUGUCAGGCGGGCAGUUUGACUGGGGCGGUCGCCUCCUAAAAGGUAACGGAGGCGCUCAAAGGUUCCCUCAGAAUGGUUGGAAAUCAUUCAUAGAGUGUAAAGGCAUAAGGGAGCUUGACUGCGAGACCUACAAGUCGAGCAGGGUCGAAAGACGGACUUAGUGAUCCGGUGGUUCCGCAUGGAAGGGCCAUCGCUCAACGGAUAAAAGCUACCCCGGGGAUAACAGGCUUAUCUCCCCCAAGAGUUCACAUCGACGGGGAGGUUUGGCACCUCGAUGUCGGCUCAUCGCAUCCUGGGGCUGUAGUCGGUCCCAAGGGUUGGGCUGUUCGCCCAUUAAAGCGGUACGCGAGCUGGGUUCAGAACGUCGUGAGACAGUUCGGUCCCUAUCCGUCGUGGGCGUAGGAAAUUUGAGAGGAGCUGUCCUUAGUACGAGAGGACCGGGAUGGACAUACCUCUGGUGUACCAGUUGUCGUGCCAACGGCAUAGCUGGGUAGCUAUGUGUGGACGGGAUAAGUGCUGAAAGCAUCUAAGCAUGAAGCCCCCCUCAAGAUGAGAUUUCCCAACUUCGGUUAUAAGAUCCCUCAAAGAUGAUGAGGUUAAUAGGUUCGAGGUGGAAGCAUGGUGACAUGUGGAGCUGACGAAUACUAAUCGAUCGAAGACUUAAUCAA